CUGAUGUAAACUCAUUGUUUUUUACGGCGUAACACACAAACACAAGCGAGGCUUCGCACGCUCAGCGUUAGCCGGAAUAGACAGCACACAGUCACAUAAUCUGGAGCUUCCCCGGACCCGCCACGUACCGAAACGGAGACGGCAUGGAUUUACAAUGUGCUAAUUAAAAUUCAUGGUCCGUCCAUGAUCUGCUGUUCUUAAUGCGGGAUAUGGAUGAAGUACAGUUGCAGCUUCCUUGUACGCGACUGUUUUGGAGAUUCGGUAGUCGCUUUACUUCCACGUGCUUGUCAGCUUUAGUUGCAGCCUCCAUGUCUGGUACACUGCCGGUGGAACCGCCUAGAUACUUAUCUCGCUGAUAAUUGUUGGUCAGAAGGAAACAUCUUGUAAUUUUUUGGAGUUUAUGAAUUCCUAUUCGAGCCUGCAACGCGAUGACGCCCGGUAUGAACAGAAGAUUGUUUGUAUUGUCUUGUGUAGAUUCGAGCAUACCGAAGAAAGUGCAAGAAUUCAGUUACGUUCAUGCUGCGUUGGGUGCGGCAAAGGACGCGAGGCUGGAACCCCUGAAUUACACUGCUGACUGGCAAAAUCAGGCGUAUCAUGGCGUUUUUUUUUCAGCGUCUCUUUCUCUGUGACGCGCUUGACAAAAACUAGAGCCUGUGAGGCCACUUCCUAAUGAUUCUUCAUAAGCGACAGCGGAGUUCAAGUUAGAGCUUCUCCGUGAUCUCUAGAAGGAGAUCGGCUUUGAUCGUUUCCGUAUCUCUGGACGUGCUUUUAUACACAGUUCCAGUGAAGAUUAUAUCUGCGUGCUUUCCGUGUACGCCUCUGCUGUCUUUUUCUUUUGGUGAGUUCUUGCGAGCGAAGACAGUAAUACAUGUAUUGCGCGUAGAACACAACCGAUUAGAAUAUACCUUGAUAUCAUAUGAUGUCGAAAUUCAGCGAUUUUGAGAUAAUACUGGACUCCUGGUGUGACUAAGCACGACAGCAAUUCAGGGUGGAUAGUGUUUCUCAUGCAACACAGCAGAUGUGUGGAUUGCCACAGCAAAUUUUUUCGGAGACAGUGCACUGAACACUUGCUUUCAGCCGAGAGUGACUCGUGCGUCAAAAACUGAACAGCUGUGCGAAGAGGUUUGAAUUUCGGUGAAGACACUGAAGCAGUGUGCUGCUCACUGGGCGAAUCCCAUAAAUCUCAGUCUGAUGGGGCCUGACAAGGGUACGGCCAAGAAGUGCGCCGCUGUCGUGGGCCGAUGCGAC
rnacentral:lncRNA from 1 species